GUCCUAGUUCUCUAGGACAUAUAAUAAAAUUGGAACGAUACAGAGAAGAUUAGCAUGGCCCCUGAGCUUAAGCAGGUCGAGUUUUCACAGACUCGUGAAUGGUGUGU